AAUAGAUACCCGGGUAGUCCACGCCGUAAACGAUGAAUACUAGGUGUGGGGGUUGUCAUGACCUCCGUGCCGCCGCUAACGCAUUAAGUAUUCCGCCUGGGGAGUACGGUCGCAAGAUUAAAGCUCAAAGGAAUUGACGGGGGCCCGCACAAGCAGCGGAGCAUGUGGUUUAAUUCGAAGCAACGCGAAGAACCUUACCUAGACUUGACAUCUCCUGAAUUACUCUUAAUCGAGGAAGUCACUUCGGUGACAGGAAGACAGGUGGUGCAUGGUUGUCGUCAGCUCGUGUCGUGAGAUGUUGGGUUAAGUCCCGCAACGAGCGCAACCCCUAUUGUUAGUUGCUACCAUUUAGUUGAGCACUCUAGCGAGACUGCCCGGGUUAACCGGGAGGAAGGUGGGGAUGACGUCAAAUCAUCAUGCCCCUUAUGUCUAGGGCUACACACGUGCUACAAUGGCUGGUACAGAGAGAUGCGAUACCGUGAGGUGGAGCCAAACUUCAGAACCAGUCUCAGUUCGGAUUGUAGGCUGAAACUCG
rnacentral:rRNA from 1 species